rnacentral:lncRNA from 1 species
ACGGCUAAAAACGCACAGGUUGUUGCAAGUUGAUAUCGACAGGCGUGAACAAUGUUGUGCGGGCAACUAUGAACAAGUUGUCAACCAUGUUGUUCCAAGUUGUUACAGUUGAACAAUGCUGUAACAACAUGUUGACAAUACUGUUCAUAGUUGGCCGCACAACAUUGUUCACGCCUGUCGAUAUCAACUUGCAACAAGUUGUUGAUUUUCUCAAUUUUUACGCGUGUAGC